rnacentral:sRNA from 2 species
AUCUACCACGCGUCCACUGCGGUUCUGAUCGCGCCGUCCGCGCCCACCUGACAGCUGCGUAGUCGUUUUAUUAGCC